GACGAACGCUGGCGGCGUGCUUAACACAUGCAAGUCGAACGGAAAGGCCUUUUCGGUGGUACUCGAGUGGCGAACGGGUGAGUAACACGUGGGUGAUCUGCCCUGCACUCUGGGAUAAGCCUGGGAAACUGGGUCUAAUACCGGAUAGGACCGCUCUUUUGUGUGUGUGGUGGCAAGAUUUUUCGGUGUAGGAUGUGCCCGCGGUGUAUCAGCUUGUUGAUGGGGUAAUGGCCUACCAAGGCGGCGACGGGUAGCCGGACCGAGAGGUUGGUCGGCCACAUUAGAACUGUGAGGCAGGCAGGAGUCGUAAGGGAGGCAGCAGGGGCGAAUGCUGCACAAAGGGCGGAAGCCUGAUGCAGGGGCGCCGCGUGGGGGAUGACGGCCUUCGGGUGGAAGAAUCUUUGCGCAAGGAACGAAGCGUUUUGUGACGGUACCUGGAGAAGAAGCACCGGCUAACUACGUG
rnacentral:rRNA from 1 species